ACGAUGUCCAUCGAAUCGCUGCAGCGCAGGUCCGAGUUCCUCAUCUCCGAGGUGGGGUUGGAAAUGACAUACAUUGUUUAUCGUCCAGCAAUGCUCAUGUACAGCUUGGAGGGCAGGCUCAGACCCCGAUACUACGUUGUAAAGUUUCUCAAGGAAAAUGGAUUGCUAAGUCGCAAUCGGGAUUAUUAUUCUGCAGUCAAGAUAACUGAGAAGGAAUUUGUGGAGAAGUUCAUAUGCCCUCACAAGGAUGCUGCACUGCACCUCGCUGAUGACUAUGGAGCAGCUUGCAGAGGAGAGGUUCCAGCUAGAUUCAGUUUCACAUGAACCAAUACUAAUAAGAAAAUUGGUAUGUUCAUUAUGUCAUUCAGUAGAGAAGAAAGCAUUGCACUGCUAUGAACUCGUCCUUCCUCGUGUUGCCAUAUUGCACACAUCUUGGAACUAGGAGAGUAUGAGAUCAGGGCAUUCUGCCAAUUUCUUUGAAGUAUCAAUGAGUAGUAUUUCUGCACACUCUGUAUCUUUGUGUUCUAAAAUGGCCAUUGCAGUUUUCAAUGCAAUCCUCCAUCUGCCUUUCAUGAAAGAAUGUUCUUAUUUUGGCCAUGAAGAUGACAUGAAGUCUCGAAAUUCCUUGGAGUAGUGUUUCUGUUUCUGACUAGUAGUCUGUAUCAGCUUUCGUUUAUUUAUCUCUUGUAGUUUUGGAUGGCCUUCUAAGUGAUACUUUUCUACGGGAAUCUGAUCUCGAAACUGAAUAGUUGAGUAGUAGGCUAGUUGCAUUUUUGUUGGAAGCCUACUUGUAUAUCACUAUGUAAACAGAAAUUUCUAAUGCCCUAGUAUUUGUACUGGAGAAGCAAAUUGAUGCUUGUAUUGCAUAGUGCUGAAAAACAGAGGACAUACUUAAGUUAUGGUAACCUUAAAAAGGGUUAUGGCAUUACCAUGUAAAUUUCUGCUAUCUCUUUUAGCUAAUUUUAUUAUUCCAUAAUCGCACUAUCUAUAUUGACCGCGAGGGCACAUUUAUCCCUUAGCAUAUUUGUUUAGUGUAGUAUAGUGGGUCUUGUGUACCGUCUUUUUUGCAAAUUUCUAUCUGGAAAGUCAGAGUAGGAAAAAGGAAAAGGACGGAUGGGACCAUGUAGUCUGGAAUCUUGCAGAAUUUCAAAUAUAGGAAUUACUAUGUACCUCAGUCUACGAACCAACCUGUGAGGAUGGUGCACAUUUGUUUGUCCCUGAUGUGAGGCUGUGGAAGUUGGAAGAAAUGUGAUCUCUGGUGUGUGCGUGCAGUAAGGCAAAGGAGUGGCCCAUGCUAUACUGGCCAAGAGAUGUGAUUUGAAGAUCAGCUAGCUGUGUGUCCCUUCUGUGGUGCUUGUUGAAAUUAUAGAAACAAGAUGAAUGAAAUGCAGGCGAGGGGAACAGGUUGAUCAAUGAAGCAACUUACCACCAGGUGAGAAGACGUGGAGGUUUCCUCAAGCAAAGAGUGGCUGCGCAACAGGAGCAUACUGAUUUACUGAAUGUGGAUGGUGCUUUCUUUCUUCCAGGUGAAAUGUGCUGAAAGUGGAUAUUGAUGGUGUUUUUUUCUUCUUCCAGGAAAUGCGACAAAACACGGCGGCUAUAGCUUUGCUCUAUUAUACUAUUCUGUAGGCCCUGCUGGGUGAUGAUGCCUUGAAGCUUCAGUGACAAGUAUGGCCUGACGGUGGCACGAGUUCUGUUAAGGGAAGCUCCUAUUUCUCUCUUUUUUGAAUUUUGCAAGUUAAGUAAUCCUUUUAGUAUUGUACUAUUGAUGUGAAUAAACAAGCAUAUGGUAGUUUAAUCAUUUUUUGCAUCUUGUUGGAUCUUCACUUGGGUGUGAACAGUUUGUAUGAAUUCUAAACUCUGAAUUUGAAUCAGAGCUGAGCAUUAACUCUGAAUCUUUCAGACUCCAUGUGCGAACUCUGAAUCAUAUUAUAACCUAUUCAAGCGUGAAGCUAUAGUAAGCACUUAGAAAUCUUUCAGGAGCCUAGGUUUAACUCGAACCAGAGCAAAAAGUUAACAGCAAUCUUACAACAAAGUUUGUAAACUGUGCGCCCCGCACAGAACAACAUAUUCUAUAUUUGGUUGCCAGAAGCUAAAAGGGUAAACUUCUAUGUAUGAUCCUCUUCAACCUUUUCCAUCAUUACAGCAGCAUCUGUAUGACAAAGAGUUCUUAUGUUUUCAGAAUAUUGGGACUGGGCUUUACUAAUUAUGAUGAGAAAUCACUUUCUUAUCCUAAAUACAUCAGUGAUUAGAGGAUUUUGAUUCUCCUGCCGUUUUCAUAAAUGUCCAAUUUAGUCUAUUAAAAUAGUCAUAUUUUCAUAAAAGUUCACCAAAAGUGAAAUGUCAUUUUUAUUAGUUUCACUGUCAGCGGAUAGAACUGUUUUACCUUGAAGUGUAAAGCGUACGUUUAGUAUCUAAAAAAUGUAUUGAAGGCAUGUGAUGAAAUCCAAGUGCAAAGGCUAGCUGAUUUGGAUCAUUCUUAUUUUGUGGAAUCUAUUUGUCCAACAUUUAUGCAUAUUUAUUUAGAGUAGAUAAAUAAACUUCACUACUGAACUUACUGCAUGAAGGAAAUGUGCUGACAGUUACAGCUCCUGAAUUAAUCCUGAAAAACUCACGCAAGAGGCCAUGAUGAUGAGUAAUUGAUGCGACGAGGACCAGGAGAAGGAGAAGAGCGGCAACCAACUCGGUAAGGUUAUUUACCAACUGGAUUUUUACACAAAGAGGAGAGCCUUAUAAUCAGAGACUUAUUCAGGGGAUUGGACAUGACUAUGAAUCGACGAGUCUAAAUAAACACGGGCUGGGUUUGAACAUGGACAGGUAUGGUGCCACGUACGGGGAUUCAAUUCAACUCAAUAAUCGGAGAGAAGAGCAGCACAAGAUAGUCUAAACUACAGCCACAUCAAGCGCUCCUAGGUAGGUCCUGAGAUGCAGCAGGGAAUGUACCUAGCUACAGAUCGUCGAAACAACACGGCCAAUAAGUGCCGGAGAUUGCUUAAAAGGCAGGGAGGUAAGACAUGACCACUGGAGGUGUUUGUCUUUUAUGGGUGAAACAAGAACAUAUCGACUGGUUUACCAAAUGUUGUAGGAGAAGAUGCGCUGAGACGGGAUGUAGAAGAUUCAUGGUGCUUUCUUCUUGAUCCAGGAGAUCGCGAAGCAUGGCAGAUGGGGCUUUGCUAUGCCCGCUGCCCUGAAGCGGCUUAAGCGACAAGUAUGACCUGAUGUGACUGAAGCAUAAUUUUGUUCAGAGAAGAACUCCUUCUUGUAUAUUGUGCCGCAUUGCCCCAUACCGGAGUCACCUUAGCUGAGUGAGGCGGCCUGAACAAACAACAAGUUGAGCAAACAAUCAAUUCGACGUGGUAUGAAUUUUCUACUCUGAUUCUGAAUAUAAACCAGAGCCGAAAGGUUAGCUCUUAGACUCUGAAAUUUUCAGACUUGAUGGUUGAGAUCUGAAACUUAUUACACCCAAGGCAAUUGUGAUUGAUGCUAUAUACUCCCUCCGUCCGGUAAUACUUGUCGGAGAAAUGGAUGUAUCUAGACGUAUUUUAGUUCUAAAUACAUCCAUUUUUAUUCAUUUUUGCGACAAGUAUUUCCGGACGGAGGGAGUACUAUCUUAGAGUUCUCAAGAUGUCGUGUCGUUGCCACGCUAUGCAAAAGCUCUCCUACUCCCACAACCUCUCUCUGUCCGUCACCGCCGCCGAUCUGGCCGUUGUCCUAGGCUAUCACUCUCUUCCUUUUCCGUGUGUUGGUGCACCAUGACCUUUGACCCCUCUCAACCUAUAUAUAUAUCCGUCAGUGGCACCGCUAUGGCAACAUUGCUAGCAAGCUCUGCCACGCAAUGCAACACUAACCUCUCUCUCAAUCACCAUCUCCUUCAACGAAGUUGUUUCCGCCGUCGCGAGCUCCACCUAAGAUGAUGCCAUUUUUCAUCGGAAUCUCCCCCCUCUGCAUUGUUGGCAAGCUACGGGACGCCUUACUGUAGGGGAGGGGAAAGAAGCAAGACGGACGGAUGGAGUUAAAGCGAUGCGUUCUAGGAUUCAUGGAUAUGUUGAAUGUUGGUUUAUUGUAGCGUAUUAUUGAGGAUAUCUUGCAAUCACCUAAAAGACAGUCAACUAUUCGUUUGAAGGUGUGACACAUUUUGUUGAACUCAAAUGAGAAUUACAUCGGGAACCAGGUCACAUAAUUUAGGGAUACAUAGUUUUUUUUUUGAGGGAAUUUAGGGAUACAUAGUUGGAAUCAUAAGAAUUUGUAACUAAAGUGUGUGCCUCCCUUGCUGCAAUGCAAAAGGGAUCGCUCACAUUAUAGAUAGAAAUGGCAGCAUGAGACUGACGGUCGGGACCCACUUGGGGGGGCUGGGUGGACUGGAGACAGGAAUCAUCGUCCACUCGUUGUUCCCCGCCACCAACCAGAAGCAGAAGCAGAAGCAGAGCAGCCAUCCGCUUUCCCCGCCGCCGCCGCCGCUGCCCCCGCCAAUCUCCUUCUCCGCGGGCGGCGCCGCCAUGCUCCGGCUCAGGUGCUGCCUCCUCACCCAGAUCCUCUCGUCUCCCUCCGCCUCCCCCAUCUCCCACCUGAGCCGCCUCAUCUCCGCCGCCGCGCCCGCCGUCUCCCAGAACCCUAACUUCGCCGUGGAGGACUACCUCGUCGUCACAUGCGGCCUCACCCCAGCGCAGGCCCGCAAGGCCUCUCCCAGGAUCUCCCACCUCAAAUCCCCCACCAAUCCCGACGCCGUCCUCGCCUUCCUCGCCGGCCUCGGCCUCUCCGCCGCCGACAUCGCCGCCCUCGUCGCCAAGGACCCGCUGUUCCUCUGUGCCAAAGUGGAGAAAACCCUAUCCCCCGUCGUCGCUGGGCUCACCGGCCUCGGCCUCUCGCGGUCUCAAAUCGCGCGCCUCGUCUCUCUCCCCGGUGUCACUUUCCGCUGUAAAUCCAUCAUCGCCGGGCUGCACUACUGCUUGCCCCUCUUCGGCUCCUCCGACAACCUCCUCCGAGCCCUCAAGGGUGGCUCCGUUCUCGGGUCCGACCUCGAGCGGGUGGUCAAGCCCAAUGUCACCUUCCUGCGCGAGUGCGGGCUAGGUGCUUGUGAUAUUGCCAGGCUCUGCAUACCUACGCCAUCGCUGCUCAGCAUCAGCCCGGAACGCAUCCGGACAGCAGUGGCGUGCGUCGAAGGUCUUCUUGGUGUACCCCGUGGGUCUCCGAUGUUCAAGCAUGCGUUACAAGCUGUUGCAUUCCUCAGCGAGGAGAAAAUCACCACCAAAGUGGAGCACUUGAAGAAAACCUUCAAGUGGUCGGAUGCUGAGGUGGGCAUUGCUGUUUCUAAGGCUCCAACAGUGCUACAUAGGACUAAGGAAUCGCUGCAGCGCAGGUCUGAGUUCCUCAUCUCCGAGGUGGGGUUGGAACCGGCAUAUAUUGCUUGUCGUCCGGUAAUACUCAUGUACAGCUUGGAGGGCCGGCUCAGGCCCCGAUACUACGUCAUCAGAUUUCUCAAGGAAAAUGGAUUGCUAGAUCACGACCGGGACUACUAUGCUGCAGUCAUGAUCAGCGAGAAGGUAUUCGUCGAGAAGUUCAUAUGCCCUCAUAAGGAUGCUGCACCGCAUCUCGCUGAAGAUUAUGCAACAGCUUGCAGAGCGGAGGUUCCAGCUAGAUUCAGUUUUACAUGAACCAAGACUAAUAAGAAAAUUGGUACAUGUUGUCAUAUUGCACACAUCUUGGAACUAGGAGAGUAUGAGAUCAGGGCAUUCUGCAAAUGCUUUGAAGUAUCAAUGAGUAGUAUUUCUGCACAUUCUCUGUUUGUAUGUUCUGAAAUGGCCAUUUCAGUUUUGAAUGCAACCCUCUAUCUAUCUUUCCAUGAAAGAAUGUUCUCAUUUUGGCCAUGAAGAUGAUAUGAAGUCUCAACCUUUCCUUUGCAUGAAAUUUUUGGACCCCUUUUUCUGUGGGAAACAAUUUUGAGUCUGUUGGUGGCUAGUUGGCUACAGUUUGCUGAUCACUGCCAAUGAUGCAGUUUUGAUCUAGUUUGUUGGUUACUUG
rnacentral:lncRNA from 1 species